rnacentral:rRNA from 1 species
UACAGAGGUGGCAAGCGUUGUUCGGAAUUACUGGGCGUAAAGGGCGCGUAGGCGGCCUUCUAAGUCAGACGUGAAAUCCCCCGGCUUAACCUGGGAACUGCGUCUGAUACUGGGAGGCUUGAGUAUGGGAGAGGGAUGUAGAAUUCCAGGUGUAGCGGUGAAAUGCGUAGAUAUCGGAGGAAUACCGGUGGCGAAGGCGGCAUCCUGGACCAUAACUGACGCUGAGGCGCGAAAGCUAGGGGAGCAAACGGG